rnacentral:rRNA from 1 species
CGGACGGGUGAGUAAUGUCUGGGAAACUGCCUGAUGGAGGGGGAUAACUACUGGAAACGGUAGCUAAUACCGCAUAACGUCGCAAGACCAAAGAGGGGGACCUUAGGGCCUCUUGCCAUCGGAUAUGCCCAGAUGGGAUUAGCUAGUAGGUGGGGUAACGGCUCACCUAGGCGACGAUCCCUAGCUGGUCUGAGAGGAUGACCAGCCACACUGGAACUGAGACACGGUUCAG